GUAACUUCCAAAUUACAUAUACUAAAAUUGGAACGAUAAAGAAGAUUAGCAUGGCCCCUGCGCAAGGAUGACGUGCAAAACCGUGAAGCUUCCCACUUUUUU
rnacentral:snRNA from 1 species